UACGGAGGGUGCGAGCGUUGUCCGGAAUCAUUGGGCGUAAAGGGCGCGUAGGUGGUGGCUUAAGCGUGCGGUGAAAAGCUCGGGGCUCAACCCCGAGUCGGCCGUGCGAACUGGGCUCACUGGAGCAUAGUAGAGGCAGGUGGAAUUCCGGGUGUAGCGGUGGAAUGCGUAGAGAUCCGGAAGAACACCGGUGGCGAAGGCGGUCUGCUGGGCAGUAGCU
rnacentral:rRNA from 1 species